rnacentral:rRNA from 1 species
AUGAAACCUCUUGACGAAGAUCACUCAAGAAAGCUAUUCUUUAACAGGCUUUUUGGUUCUGGAAGUGACUGUCCUGAAGAAUUUAAACAAGUUUCAAAUGAAAUUGUUGAUGUAUGUGGUGGUUUGCCGCUAGCUACGAUCAACAUAGCUACUCAUUUGGCAAAUCAACAGAAAGCAGUAUCACUGGAUUUUCUGACAUACAUACGUGAUUCGUUGAGGUCACAAUCGUGGUCAAGUUCUGCUUCGGAAAGAACAAGACAAGUACUGAACCUCAGCUACAAUGAUCUUCCUCAUCAUCUGAAGACAUGUUUGUUGUAUCUUCAUAUGUAUCCAGAGGGCUCCAUAGUCUGGAAGGAUGAUCUGGUGAAGCAAUGGGUGGCUGAAGCCUUCAUCAAUACACGAAAAGGGAAAGGAAAAGAUCAAAACUGGAUGGAGAAAGCUGCAGGAAUCUAUUUCGAUGAACUUGUUGAUAGAAGAUUCAUCCAACCCCUAAAUAUCAACUACAACAAUAAGGUGUUGUCAUGUACUGUUCAUGAAGUGGUACGUGAUCUUCUUGCACACAAGUCUGUGGUAGUAGAUUAUAAUCGAAAGAAUAUAUCACUUUCUCAUAAGGCCCGUCGGCUAUCUCUCCUCUUUGCCAAUGCAAGUUAUGCCAAGACACCUGUAAACAUCACAAAGGCGCAGGUUCGGUCACUUAAUUUUGUUGGAUUGUUCGAGUGCAUGCCUUGUAUUGGAGAGUUCAAGGUUCUCCGUGUUCUGAACCUUCAACUAUCCGGUCAUUGUGGCGACCAUGACCCCAUAGACCUCACUGGGAUUUCAGAACUGUUUCAGUUGAGAUAUUUGAAGAUUACAAGUGAUGUGUGCAUAAAACUACCAAACCAAAUGCGAAAGCUGCAAUGUUUGGAAACGCUGGAUAUUAUAGAUGCACCAAGAGUCACUGCUAUCCCGUGGGAUAUUAUAUAUCUCCCACACUUGUUGCACUUGACGCUUCCUGUUGACACAAAUCUGCUGGAUUGGAUUGGCAGCAUGACUGGCUCCAUCAUCAGUCUGUGGAGCCUUGGCAACCUGAACUACCUGCAAGAUCUUUAUCUUACCAUUUCUUCUACACAUCCUUCUGGUGGAAGCUCUGGGUUCUUUACUAGGAGGACAUGGCAACCUGAAAAUUAUAGUAGUGUCUCAUGGCCCAUUGGUUAA